GUCUCUCAGCCAGUUUAAGCUGGUGUUAAAGUAGACAAGCAGACUGGUUAAGACCACCAAGACUAAAUGAAGUUGUUUGUCACAGACAUCUUAGGAGGAAGAGAAUACAGAUACCAGACAUUUUCUUUACUAAAAUGGACAGUUUUUUUUUCUUUCUUUUUUUCCUUUUAAAAGAUUUUUUAUAUAGAAGAAAUCUGAAAAUUUGGAGGCAGCACCGGCUUUUUUUAAAUGAAGAAUGGUGUAUAUGAACUGAGUCUGUCUGCAUGAUGCAGCUCUGAUUUCUUGGAAUAGAAACCCUAACUAAGACACAUCCCUAAGCAGAAACUACUGCGGCUCAGGAUACUUGGUGCUCGAAACCCGGGGAAAAAACGCCUUAACAACGUGCAGCACCAGGGAGGAGACCCUCAGACCAACCGGAGCAGGUUCAGAACCAUGGUGGAUUCAGCUCCGAGAGAAUACUGAUACUGGUGAAGAAAAUCUACUUUGGGUCCCAAUGCGACUGAAAAGGACUGUGAAAGAACAAUAUGAACCCCAAGAUGAUUCUCUUACUCCUGAUGAUUGAGACCGGGAUAAGUAUACCCUUGUAGGCCAAAGUCUAUCGAAUUAUCUGAAAGGGGAACUGGUCGCAGAAGCUGGAAAGGUUGCAGACGAAGCUACAGAUACAGAUCCUGAACCUUAUUGGAACCAGAGUGGAACCAGUGACCCUUGGAGACUUCACCUCUUGACUUACCUCUGCAUUUUUCUCACUUCAAAGAAUGGGUGGGGGUGGCUCUGUUUAGCGCAGCCCUGUGUUGUGGAUUAGUGCUUAUACUAUGACUGGUUUGCAAACUCAGAUCUCAGCAGAAACGUGACAAGGUGGUAAUUGCUCAAGCACUUGCUGCCAUAGAGCAAGGCACCUCCCCUGAAAUUUGGCUAUCUAUUCUCAAGAAUUAGUUGGCAUUUGAGUUCUCUGCCUUUGCAUUCCACGAAUUUGUGGAUACAUUGCAUUGAGAUGAGAGAAACUCAACGAUCAUUGAUCAACCCGUGUGCAUUGCUGAGGUUUCCUCAUUGCAUGUGAUAGAAUGACCAUGAUUUCCCCACUAAUUUAUUUUUGGCUGGCCUCUUCUGUAGAGUUCACCCUAGGCCAUUUAGCAGUUGUAGUCACACAGCACUGUGGUAUCCAGAGACGGGCAACUUUCCUCGUGCACAGACCAACCUAAGACAAUGGGGCCCGGUGGUGAUAGGGUUACCCGAUAACGGGUAAGGCUGUGACAUUGGAGGAACGACCUAAAACAGGGGCCACAGCAGAUGGACGUAACUACAGAGGCCUAGACCAGCCUCAUUUUUAUUAAAACAUAAAGGGGGAGAUGUGGAGAGCCGCAAUAACAUUUACCAUCUUAAGAUGGCGCUGGCUCCGCAGUGCCUUAUGCCACCUAAACAAAGAACAAGCUAUAUGUGCAUCUGCUAAAAGCAAAAACCCACCAAAAGUCACCAGCCCAUUUCCAGGGCACCGGUCCAUCCCCCAGGGCACUAGCCCAACCCCUGGGGCGUUUAGCCUAUCCCUAGGGUGCAUGAGAUUUGUGGGUGUAGCUACCAGUCCUAGUUUAGACACGUCACCAAAAAGUAUUUAAGCCACACACUUUCUGAGCCUUCUUUGUCUACCUCAAUAUGUUAUGAAGUAAAGUUAACCAUGAAAGAA
rnacentral:lncRNA from 1 species